CAAAACCCCUAAAUUUUUCUCUGUAUUUUUUCUCCUCUAAUUUGUUUCAUGGAUUUGAAAGGCGUCAACAUUCGUUGUGAAUUUGCGGUGUUAAAGUUCCAUUUAGUACCAAUUUUCUCUUUGGGGGGAUUCCAUCUGGGCCAACGUUCGGUUCGGUUGGUACUUGUACAACGGUUUCAUCCAAGACGACAACCUCCUAACAAAUAUAACAAUACCCAUGAAGGAUUUAACUUUGGCGCAAGCGAUAACCAACACUACCAAUUGUGAAGACAUUGCUACGACAUCAUCAGACUGUAUCGUUGAAACGAUGUAAGAAUUUACUUCGUCAACAAAUUCGUUAUUCGGAGCAAGGAUACAUAUGGAUUUAAGGCGCGACCUGUUUAUUGAAGCACUGACGAUAUCUACUCUUGUUCCUCCACGAAUUACAGG